CCCUACAUGACCCAUCUCUUCAGCACCGCAGAGGCCAUCAUCUUUGCCUUUUUCUCCUCCUUCAUCACCACCCCACUAUCCUAUGAGGAGUUACGGCCUUUGUGUUCCCCACCAAGAAGCAUAGCUGCCCCUCCCUUCUCUCCCCCCUCCUCUGCAAAACCCCUAACCCUAACCUUAACCCUAGCUCGCGAUCCUUCGAUCUUCUUCGCUCUCUGUCUCUGAUCCCUCAACCUUGUGUCCCCCGUCCCGCUCCCCUCUCUUGGCUUGCCCGCGCUGCCGACCUCCUCGCCUCCACCCUCGUCGACGUCGCCCCGCUCCUUUCCCGCUCCUCCUUCGACCUCGCUACCUUCGCCGCCCACCACCAUUCCGGCCUCUCCCUACUCCAUCGCCCUCCACCUUCUCCGCCAUCACCUUCUUUCCGCCUCCUCUCCUCCCCUCGACUCCUUCCUCCCCUGCGCCCGCCGCAGCAUCGCCGAGUGGGAUCGAGCACCUUCGAUUACCAUCCUCCACCUUGCCGCUGCUGCCACCGCGCUCGAGCCCCAUCUACGCCGCCGCUGCCGCGCGCCGCGGGAUCUACGUCACCAACACGGUCGCCACCCUCGUUCUCAGCACCAUUGCGUUGGCGCUCGGCGGCGCCAGCACUGGCGCAAAAUCAGGCCUUGGCAAAGAAGGGAGAGAGAGGUAGGGAGAGCGCAAAGAGCCAGCGCGGGGAGAGAAGCAUCGGAAGAGGCGAGAUAGGAAGAAUGGGAAGAGGGGGGAGAAGAUUUGGUACUUUUUCAAGAAUGAGGGGGAAGAUUUGGUACUUUUUCAAGAUGGGGGAGAUUUCCAAAAAUUCGGUAGAUU
rnacentral:lncRNA from 1 species